rnacentral:tRNA from 1 species
GCUCGGAUGGUGGAAUCGGUAGACACUGGGGACUUAAAAUCCCCUGGCCGCAAGGUCGUGCGAGUUCAAGUCUCGCUCUGAGCA